rnacentral:tRNA from 1 species
GACCGCGUAGCUCAGUUGGAAGAGCAUUGGGCUAGCAUUCCAAAGGUCGUAGGUUCGAAUCCCGCCGUGGCCA